GAAAAUUUCUGAUCUUAUGCAUUAUGAAUAUGUUUUUAGCUGCACGAUUCAUCUUUCCGCAAUUUUUUUGGUGGUGCGGAAACAACAAAUCUC
ensembl:ncRNA C46F4.4 ncRNA